rnacentral:lncRNA from 10 species
GGCCAAACGAUGGAUGAAAAAAUGUAUGCUGACACAGGUAUUUUGCCUGACAGCGUGACUAGGGGACUUCACUGCUCAGCACCGCAGAUCCCAGUUCUCAUGGGCAACUUCCAGAUCCCAACACCAAGAAGUCCUUGGGCACAAGGACUUCUUUUUAUCUACCACCUUUUUAUCUACCUUGUUGUGAACCCCAUAAGCAGUGAUGUUUCCAUGAUCUUCCGUGGGUCAAGGGCCUUUAAUAACAUGUGGUAUUUAUAUGGUACCUUUCAUCCGAAGACUACAGUGCAAGGCAUGACAUUCUCUCACUAUGUUCCUAUGGGGAAGGCAGAAGACAGGGGCGAUUAACCCUAUGAUACAUACAGGAAAACUGAGACAAAGAGCUCUUAUAACCAAUCUAGUAGGUUGGUUCUAUUACUCAGAAUUAAGGGGAUAACUGCUGAGCCUUAAGGAUUAUGGAAGACUUAACCUGCAAAUGAUUCUUUCUGAAGACAUGUGUCAGUUGGCUAAUUAUGGGCUUCAUCUUCUCCCUUUUUUAGUUGAAUGAUCCAGGGGCCAGGGUGAAGCUCUGGGAAAAGGGAAGUAAGUCCCAGAGAGUGAGUAACGAUGGGAGAAGUGAGAAAGAAAGGCCUAGUUAAUUGUGGGCUGUGUCUUACUCACUCACUAAAUUGAUCAGAAAUUAUUUACGAAGCCCUCUCUUAGGCUUUCAGUUCCAUGCCUGGUGCCAGGAAGAAUACAAGGAAGGAGCAUAGAAUGAGUGCCAUUUUGUCAGUAGCUUACAAUUUCCUUGGAUCCACAAGAAAUACGUACAUUGAACAAGACGAAAACUAAUGCUGGGAGGUAGAAACAGAACAGUCAGUGUAAUAAGAUCCUAGGGGAAAGUAAGGUGAGCAAGGGCUUCGACGGACACUUUUUCUACCUGUGUUUCUUCAUUGAGCACCCAUAGUCGCUGGGUGUGGUGUUAGAGGCUGCAGAUUUGACACUCAGUCCCUGUUCCUAUGGGCUCAUAGGCCAACGUAGCUGAGAGAAAUAGUGCAGCGGGACGGGGUGGUCUGGAAAACCUCCCAGAGCAAGUAACCUCGAUAAAUGGAGCCUAACUACAGAAUGGAUGCUGUGCCUGUGAAGUCAAAGGAGAGCUCUGCACAGAGGGAGGGGGCUGCAGAUAUAGGGGAGGGUAGCAGAGAAAAGAACUCCAAGAAGGAAGGAAGGCUUGGGCUCAAUUUAAAAAUACUUUUCUGAGGUCCCCCAGAUGCUUCUCCUAGGCCAGGACUCUUCCCUUCACUAAUACUGUUUUUGCCUAAUUGAAGUUAAGGAAAGCACUCCUCCUCCAUUUCCUCCAUAUUUUCUUUCCACUUUCCUUUUCUAUCUUUCUCUUCCUGACUUUUGACAGUAGCAUCAAGAGAAUGUCUAUUACCUAAAAAAUCUGCCAGUCUUUCCAUUUUUUGGUCAUUUGUUUAAAAACAGUAUUCCUUAUUAAGAAUAUUUUCAUUUGUGUGUGACUUCAUUGCCCACAAACUGCUUCUAUCACCACAAAAUUACAUCUUAGAUAUGACAAGAGACACAAUGUCAGGUCAAGGGCUUACUUGCAAAUCAACAGAGGGACUCCAGGUGAAACUCCAGUUAAAUCAGGCAAUGGAGCUGUCCAACUACCCAGAUGACCCAGGAGAGCAAAAGUCCACGUGGCCUUGGGUUUCAGCAAGGAAGGAGUGUGCAGCAUUCCCAGACCCCUUGGUGCCCAUGACAGAGGCCAGGAGUCAGAGGGUUGGGACAGCAACUCAGCUUGAUUGCUAAGCAGGAAUACUCUUCACCUGCCUAUGGCCAGGACUCCGGGCCAGAGAAAAGGAAAUCACACAGAGUAAUGCCUGUCAUCAACUGCAAUCACAUUCUCCACAUAGCAAAAGAAAUGGGUCCCCAGUCUCUCUUUUCCCAGAACAAGAACAGGUGGCACCUGGCAGCAUAACUCGGUGGUUUCUACAUGAUGGCCUGGUCCUAAAAACCUUUGACAUCCCCAGCUUCUCAAUGCCCUCCCUCUACUCCCUUAUUCUGCCCGUUCCUUGCCCAUUCAUUCAUGCUAAAGAUCCAAACUCAGGUAUGCUCUCCUCAUUACUCAAGACAGGGCUGACCACGUAAACAGAAGCAGAUCCCCAGUCUGUGCAGAGCUCGUGCCGAAUGCUGGAGCCCAGCCACACACCACCGCAGACCUGACGCCAGCCCCCAGCGGGGCAGCUGUGCUGAGGUUGGCUCCUCAGGGCCACCUCUUGUCUUUACUGCAAGAUAUAUUCUGAUUCUUCUAGUGUGCCCAGUGGUAGCUUGUUACAUGACUCUGCUCUCCUAGAGAGUUACAUGAGUCUCUGCUCUCCUAGAAAUAGAUGACUGAUGUUACUACUCACAGUAAAUAAGUUAUUAUCAAUAAAUAUUUUAUCAGUUGUAACUGAUAUUAUCAAAAUCAUAAAUACUUAUAUUGUAGUCAUUACUAAUGGUAGUAAAUUUAAUUGUUUCAUAACAAUCCUUGUAGAGUUAAUGCAUAUGUCCCUGAGCCCUCAGGAUAUCAAAAUGUUGUUUCUCAGGCAUAAUAUUGUCUUAAGUAAUAAAAUUAGAAACCAUAAAUCUAUGUCUUGCUGCUCUUUUCAUCCAGUUCUCCUUACUUUGCCAGG